rnacentral:lncRNA from 1 species
GUUGCCUGUAGUCUUUGUCCUUUGGGGUGCUUGCUUGUCUUGAAGAUUCCUUACACACUUUCUGCUGAGGCUACAGCUCAGGGGUGGAACACUAGUCUAGCACACACAAAGCCUCCAGCACACACACCCCAAAUCUGUUACAAAUUGGAAGAUAUGAAGCCUUUGCAUGGGUUCAUCUGCAGCCCUAAAUCAAUACUGAAUGGUUUGGGAAAGGGACUGGUGAGAAGAGGCUGAAGGAUUCUCCCAUCAGCCUGAGUAACAGAAACUGCAAGCUUCAGUUGAAAGACAGAGUUGAAAGUGAGGAAACAGACCGGAAGACUCAGAGGUCUGUACCCAUGUGUCUCUGAAUGCCCUUGUGACUGCACAGAAGGGCUGCUGAAGGAAUGUGACCUGUGCAUACACUGGCUUGUUGUCCCCUGCCUCGGGAUGUUUCUGGAGCAUCUGCUCUGUCAGCUGCUGUGGUACUAGCAGAACUGGACAGCAUGAGAUGAGAACUGAGGAAAACUCAGAAGAAAAGGGAUUCCAAGUCAUUGGCAAGUCAUUCCAAGGACUGGAGAGAUGACUCAGAUGGUUAAGAGUACUGUUGCUCUUGAAGUGGACCAGGGUUGGGUUCCCAGCACCCACGUGGUGGUUCACAGCCAUUCAGAACUUCAGUUCCAGGGGUUCUGAUGACUUCUUCUGACUUCCAUGGGCUCCAGGCACGUACAUGGUACACAUAUGUUCAUGCAGGAAAAACACUCAUGCACUUAAACUUGAAAACAAUAAUAAAAUAACCAAGACUUUCCAGCUGAUGGUUCCUCUACCUAGAAACGGCCAACCUUCAUUUCUUUCUCCAGCAAGGAGGACUUCACAACAGCUUAAGAACAAGGUGGGGAGGGAUCAGUAGCCAUAGUUUGAAAAACUACCCCCUCAAACACACACCUUUGUGCCAGAUAGAUUCACUACACAAGCAUUUACAAAUGUGACUCUGCCUUGGGCAUCAAGAAAUGGGCACAACAGCAUCCCCAGGUGUCACUGAAGUUCUCCCAAAUCCUG